rnacentral:rRNA from 1 species
UAAGUCCCGCAACGAGCGCAACCCACGUCUUUAGUUGCCAGCAUUUAGUUGGGCACUCUAGAGAGACUGCCGGUGAUAAACCGGAGGAAGGUGUGGAUGACGUCAAGUCAUCAUGCCCCUUACAUCCUGGGCUACACACGUACUACAAUGCUACGGACAAAGGGCAGCAAGUUCGCGAGGACAAGCAAAUCCCAUAAACCGUGGCUCAGUUCAGAUCGUAGGCUGCAACUCGCCUACGUGAAGGCGGAAUCGCUAGUAAUCGCAGGUCAGCAUACUGCGGUGAAUACGUUCCCGGGCCUU